CUAUAUGUUCUCACAAUGAAUAUAUUGCAGUCGAUUUUCUUUUUUUAAAUAAAAUAGAGAAAACACAGCCUUUAUUUAGUACAUAAUUUCAAUAUAUAUAAGUUAUUAAGUGUGGAUGUUUAAAUAAAAAUUCAAUAUGGAUUCAUAGUAACACCAUAUAGUGUUAUUUUGUCUCUGUUAUCUAUGUUGUUUUAUCUUUUAGUUUGUUCGUACUUUUAAUAUAAUCUCUAGUUGAAAAUUAUUCCCUGUGUUACCAUCCUUUCACUACAUCAAGUAAGCGUAAUAAUGAAUCACUAUACAAAUUAUUGAGAGAUAAUAAAUACUUCACUACAUUUAUAUUUUAAAAAUAAUUAAUAGUUUACUGUCUUUGCAUCACUUUCGUUAGUUGACCCGUUAGUUAGACUUACAAAAUACUAAUUUUGAACCUAGUGAGUAACUCCUAAAUAAAAAAAAAAAUGAUUCAAAUCAAUGUCAUAUGAAUUUAUAGUUAUGUCUUGUUCUUGGUGUGAAAAAACUUAUCAUUACUGCUUAAAUUUACAAUGAUAAUUAAAUGACAAUAUCAUCCCUACAAUUGAUAUGUUGCAUGAUCAAUUAUAAAUUGGUGGAAAUAUAGUAAACUAUUAUUUUUAAAAAGUUAAUGAAGUAUUGCCUCCAAUAAUUCAUGUAGUGAUUUUUUAUUUCACAAUUCUUGUUACAGUAAACGGAUAAUAAACCUUAGACUUAAUUAUAAAUUUAUAUUUCAUUUAAUCAAAAUAUAAUUUUGCCCAUCUGACAUCAAUGUGACAUCAUCAUUAGACUAAUGAUAGCUACAAAAAUAUAAUAAAUUAUUUUUUCUAAAAGGUGAUGUAACCUUUUAACAAUUCGUAUAGUAGUUUAUUAUUUCAUAAUACGCGGCAUAGUGAAAGGAUAAUAUCCUUUGUUGUGUGUGUGUGUGUGUGUGUGUAGACAGCGGCUUAACAUCUCAGAUUCUCAAUAUCUCAUACCAAUGAAAAAACGAAAAUAAAUUUUAGUUCAUGACUUAUAUGACAUAAAUGAAAAUUUAAUAAACUUACUUGACAAAUAGCAUAGCCUAAGGCUUUAUUGGUAUAACCUUUCAAAUAAACCUUAUCUAAGUGCAGUUUUUUUCAAUAGAGUUUUAAUAAAUAAAGUUUUUAUUAAA
rnacentral:lncRNA from 1 species